rnacentral:lncRNA from 1 species
UGGUAAUUACACUGCAGUCUAUGCCACCAACUGGCUAUAGUCACCCAAAGGGUGGAGAUCGGAGGAGGCAUUGUGGU